rnacentral:lncRNA from 1 species
AUGGCGGGACCGUGGCGCCGGACCCGGGGGAGGGAGGCGGCGCGAGCAAGCGAGCGGCCGCACCUGCUUCGCGUCGUCCGUCCGUCCGUCCCUUCCCGGGCUGGCGGGGGCGGCGGCGCGGCGCGCUCGGUGGGGCGCGCUGACGGGCGGCCGGUCCUCUCCCCUCCACUCGUCUGCCUCCCUUGCUCGCUCCCUCGCGCCUGCUUGUCCCUUUCCGCACCCCCUCCUCGACCCCGGCCCCUAGCUCACCCGGACAGCGGCGCGGACGGCGCGGCUCUGGGCGCCCGCAGGCCCCGGCCGGGCUGGAAUCCGGCGGCUGGAACCCCCCGGGGGCGCUCAAUUCCCGGGCUCCACGCUGCUGCGUCAGCGCCUCCUCCUGGGGGCCGGGGCCGGGCGGGCGGAGCGGGGGCCGCGGCCGGGCGGGGCCGUCGGGGGGGCGGGAGCGCCUGGCCGGGGCGGGCGGACGGCGGGGGCCGGACGGGCGGGGCAGGCAGCCGGACGGGCGGGCGGCGGGGGCCGGGCUCCGGGAUCCGCUACGCCGCUCGCGGUUCCCCCACAAACUCCCCGAGAGCGGAGCCUCCGCCGCCCUCCUUCCUGCUUCCUCGUCCCCAGCCAAUCAGCGGCGCGCCCCUCGGCCAGCUCCGCCAAUCAGCCGCCCCGCCCUGCGCUGGCCCCGCCAGCCAAUCCGGCCCUCGGCUCCCCCUCCCGGUCUCCGACCAAUCAGAACCGUGGGUCGGUCGUCCCAACGCAGGGGGCAGCACGAGGCGGCCGGGGGAGGCGGUGCGGGGAGUGGUGGGGCCUGGGGGGAGGGGUACGGUGCCAAGGGUGGUGGCGGGGGGUGGUUUUCUUUGCCGGCUUCUUGGAUUUUCUCUUCGGUUGCAGAGCCCGAGCCGAUAUCCCAUGGUGACCCGACCCUGGAGCCCCUAUCCCCCAGCUGCUACCCCCCCCGAGAAAUUUUAUAUCGCCCCCGCCCUGGCCGUCACCCCUCUACAUCCCCUUACCCCCUUCUCCUUAGCACCCACUGUAGAAAACUGCGGGCCGAGAAACACCCCACCCUCGCCAGCGGCUGCUGCCUCCAGGGCAAAGCCUCGGGAAGACCAGCCGAAAAAAAUCAAGCGAGGACAACCCCCCUUUCCUGCAGAAAGGGCCCCAGACUCCAGCGAAAGGGCCCCGACUGCUGAGAAGCCCCUCCCGCCCUUGCCUCAUCUUUCCGACUUCCCUGCCUGCCACGUCUCCUUUCCUUUCAAGCAAGGUCGGUCCUAG